rnacentral:rRNA from 1 species
GACGAACGCUGGCGGCGUGCCUAAUACAUGCAAGUAGAACGCACAGUUUAUACCGUAGCUUGCUACACCAUAGACUGUGAGUUGCGAACGGGUGAGUAACGCGUAGGUAACCUGUCUGGUAGCGGGGGAUAACUAUUGGAAACGAUAGCUAAUACCGCAUAAUAUUGAUUAUUGCAUGAUAAUUAAUUGAAAGGUGCAAUUGCACCACUACCAGAUGGACCUGCGUUGUAUUAGCUAGUAGGUGAGGUAACGGCUCACCUAGGCGACGAUACAUAGCCGACCUGAGAGGGUGAUCGGCCACACUGGGACUGAGACACGGCCCAGACUCCUACGGGAGGCAGCAGUAGGGAAUCUUCGGCAAUGGACGAAAGUCUGACCGAGCAACGCCGCGUGAGUGAAGAAGGUUUUCGGAUCGUAAAGCUCUGUUGUAAGAGAAGAACGGGUGUGAGAGUGGAAAGUUCACACUGUGACGGUAUCUUACCAGAAAGGGACGGCUAACUACGUG